rnacentral:rRNA from 1 species
AGUGAACGCUAGCGGUAGGCCUAACACAUGCAAGUCGAACGGCAGCACAGGAGAGCUUGCUCUCUGGGUGGCGAGUGGCGGACGGGUGAGGAAUACAUCGGAAUCUACUCUGUCGUGGGGGAUAACGUAGGGAAACUUACGCUAAUACCGCAUACGACCUACGGGUGAAAGCAGGGGAUCUUCGGACCUUGCGCGAUUGAAUGAGCCGAUGUCGGAUUAGCUAGUUGGCGGGGUAAAGGCCCACCAAGGCGACGAUCCGUAGCUGGUCUGAGGGGAUGAUCAGCCACACUGGGACUGAGGCACGGUCCAGACUGCUACGGGAGGCAGCAGUGGGGAAUAUUGGACAAUGGGGGCAAGCCUGAUCCAGCCAUACCGCGUGGGUGAAGAAGGCCUUCGGGUUGUAAAGCCCUUUUGUUGGGAAAGAAAUCCAGCUGGCUAAUACCCGGUUGGGAUGACGGUACCCAAAGAAUAAGCACCGGCUAACUUCGUGCCAGCCGCCGCGGUAA